UUCAGGAUUGGCUGCCCCUUCAUAACCAUAAGAUAAUUAAAACGAGGGGGGGGGCAGGGUUAAAAAAAAAACUUUUUUAUCAGCCAGAGGUUAAUGCAAGUGUUUAACAGAUGCUUCACUAUUAAAAUAUUUUCCCCUAAGUCUCAAAUAUUGAAGAAUCUCAAAUCAGGUACACCUCGGCGAAGACCUUGGGCGACUUCAAAGCGCAGGCACCUCGAUUCCCCGAAUCUAUGUUGUGUGGCGGGUAUCGGUGUUCCCCUGUUUUAACUAGCCUGUUUGAUGGGGAAACCAGGGCAUAGAAGUCAAGAAAUUUGCUCAAGAUCAUGAAAGGAAAAAAUGGUGGAGCCAGUAUGUGAACACAAGCCACCUUCCUCUACAGCUCAUGUUCUUGAAUCAUCAGUCAAUGAAGGCAAUGCACCUGGGGGGCGAGGGGAGUUAGCUUAGCAGUUGCUUAGCUGCUGCUGAUGAUGAGAGAGGAUCCUGGUCCUUCCUUGGGGUGGUUACCAUGGGUUACCAUGGCACAGCUUCCACAGAAGCUGCUCCCAUUUGGGAAACAUGUAUCAUUAUCUUAUUUCCUUGUUGAACAUUGUACUGUCAUGUUCCUACUUGUUCUCCUCCUCCACAUAGCUUCCUAGGUUUUUGUGGUUCUGUAAUUCUAGGGAAGAAAGGAUAAUGAGAAUCCCGAUGUGUUUUUCAGCAGAAAGCUAAUUUUCCAUCACCUAUAUGCAGUUGUUUCGUAGGAGCUUUAGGAGAAACUGCAUCUCCCCAGGUACCUGGCUUUCUAUGAGAACGAGAUUCAGUGCUUUGCAAGUCUUGUCUCAGCGAAGUGGCCCAUUUACUCUACAUACCACAAAACCCCUGGAGACGUAAGAGCUUUCUUUUUGAGCUAGCCCACUUCCUAUGGACAGUUAUAUUAUGUAAGUAGGCAUUAUAUUAUUUGGUAUUUUACAGUCAAAGGAAGUUCAGAUUUUUUCCUCUCUUGGAAUGUUUUCCUUUUCUCCUGACAGAUCUGGGUAUUCAUUAAUGUUUUGGUUUACUUGAAUGCAAGAAAAUCACUUAUUAAAAUGUAUUUUUUUCUUUUUUAGGGCUGCACCGACGGCAUAUGGAAGUUUCCAGUCUAGGUGUAGAAUCGCAGCUGCUGGCCUACACCACAGCCAUAGCAAUGCUGGAUCCUUAACCCACUGACGGAGGACAGGGACAGAACAUGAAUCCUCAUGGAUACUAGUCAGGCUUAUAACCCGCUGAGCAACAAUGAGAACUCCUUACAUUUUUUUUUUUGCUUUUUUUGCUUUCAGGGCUGCACCCGAAGCACAUGGAGGUUCCCAAACUAUGGGUUGAACUGGAGCUGUGCCCACUGGCCCGCACCACAGCCACAGCAGCGCCAGAUCCUUAACACACUGAGCAAGGCCAAGGAUCAAACCUGCAUCCUUAUGGAUGCUAGUCAGAUUCGUUAACUGCUGAGCCAUGACGGGAACACCUGUAAUUUUUUUUUUAAAUAAUCAAACUUCCUCUCUUUUUUUGUUCUUUCUUAGUGCUGUUAAUCAAUGAAAAGGCCAACAUUGAUCUUAAAAGAAUCUUUUUCUUAGACCAUGAUGGAAAAGAAUAUAAAAAAUAAUGUAUAUCUACAUUUAGAUAUAGAUAAUAUAUAAAACUAAGUGACUUUGAUGUACAACAGAAAUUGUCACAAUAUUGUAAAUCAACUAUAAUAAAAAAUAAAAAUUAAAAAAU
ensembl:lncRNA